rnacentral:rRNA from 1 species
UGGGGAAUUUUGGACAAUGGGCGAAAGCCUGAUCCAGCAAUGCCGCGUGAGUGAAGAAGGCCUUCGGGUUGUAAAGCUCUUUUGUCAGGGAAGAAACGGUGAGAGCUAAUAUCUCUUGCUAAUGACGGUACCUGAAGAAUAAGCACCGGCUAACUACGUGCCAGCAGCCGCGGUAAUACGUAGGGUGCAAGCGUUAAUCGGAAUUACUGGGCGUAAAGCGUGCGCAGGCGGUUUUGUAACGUCUGAUGUGAAAUCCCCGGGCUCAACCUGGGAAUUGCAUUGGAGACUGCAAGGCUAGAAUCUGGCAGAGGGGGGUAGAAUUCCACGUGUAGCAGUGAAAUGCGUAGAUAUGUGGAGGAACACCGAUGGCGAAGGCAGCCCCCUGGGUCAAGAUUGACGCUCAUGCACGAAAGCGUGGGGAGCAAACAGGAUUAGAUACCCCAGUAGUCCCUGAGCGGGCUGGCAAGGCGCAU